ACCAGACUCCUACGGGAGGCAGCAGUGAGGAAUAUUGGUCAAUGGCCGAGAGGCUGAACCAGCCAAGUCGCGUGAGGGAUGACGGUCCUAUGGAUUGUAAACCUCUUUUGUCAGGGAGCAAAGGGCGCCACGUGUGGCGCUUUGCGAGUACCUGAAGAAAAAGCAUCGGCUAACUCCGUGCCAGCAGCCGCGGUAAUACGGAGGAUGCGAGCGUUAUCCGGAUUUAUUGGGUUUAAAGGGUGCGCAGGCGGAAUGUCAAGUCAGCGGUAAAAUUUCGGGGCUCAACCCCGUCGUGCCGUUGAAACUGGCGUUCUUGAGUGAGCGAGAAGUAUGCGGAAUGCGUGGUGUAGCGGUGAAAUGCAUAGAUAUAACGCAGAACUCCGAUUGCGAAGGCAGCAUACCGGCGCUCAACUGACGCUCAUGCACGAAAGCGUGGGUAUCGAACAGGAUUAGAUACCCUCGUAGUA
rnacentral:rRNA from 1 species